UUGGCGAGAAGUAUCCAGAUAAUGGGCACAGAGUAAAAAUACUACUCUGUGUAAUCAUGGAUCGUAUAUUUUAUACGAAAAUAAAUUUAAGAUAUUUCAUUAAAUAAAGUGGAAGUAGCAUACAUCACAGAGAAGAAGAUUCUUGUUGUGGAAAUAAUUCGCUUGAGGGUUCGAAGUCAGUGAAUUAAUCAACCAUGUCACCUGUACCAGAAGAUGAUAUUAAGGAUCCUACUCAUGAUGAUAUAGAUACAGUUGAAAAUAUGGAAUUUCCAGAGGUCAUACUACCCCAUGGAACCUCUGAUAGUGAUGAUGAUGAUGAUGGUGGGGAAGACUUGGGAAGUUAUCAGUUGCUACCACAAGAUCCAAAUGAUGCUACAGUAGGGCUUGACUAUAGUUUAUCAAAUGAUGAAGAAACAGAAAAUGAACAGACCUGGAGAACAAGUGAACCUGCUGACAGUCAACAACCACAUUUAUCACAGUAUCCAGACGGAACAGCACCUUCAUAUCUUCAGGUGCCAGAUUUGCCAAGAGCUGAUAAAAAAGAUCUUCUAUGGAAUCAGACCAAGAAAGCUUCUGAUUCAAUAAUAAUGGAUGAUGAACAUGCAGCUGAAAUUAAAGCAGCAAUGGCAGGUUUCCAGCUACCUGUCUCUCAUGUACCGGAGUGGGCAAAAAAUGUUUCUGAUGAUCAGUGGAAAGACAAAGUGGUUUCACAAAUGUUAUCUCCCCUUGCAUCUUCUACUAGUAAAGAUCAUACAUCAGCAUGUUCUACUAGUAAAGAUCAUAAAUCAGCAUGUUCUACUAGUAAAGAUCAUACAUCAUCAUGUUCUACUAGUAAAGAUCAUACAUCAUCAUGUUCUACUAGUAAAGAUCAUACAUCGUCAUGUGGAUGAAAUGAAGAUAAAUUACAGACAGCUGUGAAUGUGAUAAAAACUUUCCAUAUUUGUUUGGGUUUUUUAAUGGGGCAGUGCAAGUUUGAUUGAAAUGUAUAUUUCAAUGCUGCUUUCAGACUUUACAAUAAAAUACGGAAAAUAAUAUG